GUACGUACAAGCAGUGGGAGCACAGGUUUACCUGUGUGACUGCGUACCUUUUGUAUAAUGGGUCAGCGACUUAUAUUCUGUAGCAAGGUUAACCGUAUAGGGGAGCCGGAGGGAAACCGAGUCUUAACUGGGCGUUAAGUUGCAGGGUAUAGACCCGAAACCCGGUGAUCUAGCCAUGGGCAGGUUGAAGGUUGGGUAACACUAACUGGAGGACCGAACCGACUAAUGUUGAAAAAUUAGCGGAUGACCUGUGGCU
rnacentral:rRNA from 1 species